CUACGGGUUGCUCCAGUGAGGAAUAUUGGUCAAUGGGCGCAAGCCUGAACCAGCCACUCCGCGUGUAGGAUGACUGCCCUAUGGGUUGUAAACUACUUUUAUACAGGAAGAAACCUCCAUACGUGUAUGGAGCUGACUGUACUGUAAGAAUAAGCAUCGGCUAACUCCGUGCCAGCAGCCGCGGUAAUACGGAGGAUGCAAGCGUUAUCCGGAUUUAUUAGGUCUAAAGGGUGCGUAGGCGGAUAUUUAAGUCAGUGGUGAAAUCCUACAGCUUAACUGUAGAACUGCCAUUGAUACUGGAUAUCUUGAGUUUAGUUGAGGUAAGCGGAAUGUGUAGUGUAGCGGUGAAAUGCUUAGAUAUUACACAGAACACCGAUUGCGAAGGCAGCUUACUAAGCUAACACUGACGCUGAGGCACGAAAGCGUGGGGAGCGAACAGGAUUAGAUACCCUUGUAGUC
rnacentral:rRNA from 1 species